GCAGAGUCACUCCUACGGGGGGCAGCAGUGGGGAAUAUUGCACAAUGGGCGCAAGCCUGAUGCAGCCAUGCCGCGUGUAUGAAGAAGGCCUUCGGGUUGUAAAGUACUUUCAGCAGUGAGGAAGGUGGGUAUGUUAAUAGCAUACUCAUUUGACGUUAGCUGCAGAAGAAGCACCGGCUAACUCCGUGCCAGCAGCCGCGGUAAUACGGAGGGUGCGAGCGUUAAUCGGAAUUACUGGGCGUAAAGCGCAUGCAGGUGGUUUGUUAAGUCAGAUGUGAAAGCCCGGGGCUCAACCUCGGAAUUGCAUUUGAAACUGGCAAACUAGAGUACUGUAGAGGGGGUAGAAUUUCAGGUGUAGCGGUGAAAUGCGUAGAGAUCUGAAGGAAUACCGGUGGCGAAGGCGGCCCCCUGGACAGAUACUGACACUCAGAUGCGAAAGCGUGGGGAGCAAACAGGAUUAGAUACCCUGGUAG
rnacentral:rRNA from 1 species